UAAAGUUUAGUUUAUAUAAAACAAAUGUUUUGAAAACAUUAAUAGGAGGCUUCUCCAACUUUUA
rnacentral:tRNA from 1 species